GACGAACGCUGGCGGCGUGCUUAACACAUGCAAGUCGAACGCUGAAGCUCAGCUUUUGUUGGGUGGAUGAGUGGCGAGCGGGUGAGUAACACGUGAGUAACCUGCCCCCUUCUUUGGGAUAACGCCCGGAAACGGGUGCUAAUACUGGAUAUUCACUGGUCUUCGCAUGGGGGUUGGUGGAAAGGGUUUUUCUGGUGGGGGAUGGGCUCGCGGCCUAUCAGCUUGUUGGUGGGGUGAUGGCCUACCAAGGCUUUGACGGGUAGCCGGCCUGAGAGGGUGACCGGUAACAUUGGGACUGAGAUACGGCCCAGACUCCUACGGGAGGCAGCAGUGGGGAAUAUUGCACAAUGGGCGCAAGCCUGAUGCAGCGACGCCGCGUGAGGGAUGGAGGCCUUCGGGUUGUGAACCUCUUUCGCUCAUGGUCAAGCCGCAACAAUGGUUGUGGUGAGGGUAGUGGGUAAAGAAGCGCCGGCUAACUACGUG
rnacentral:rRNA from 1 species